AAAUUACUUUUUCCCUAACAUUACUAGUAAGAGUGAGAUUUUACUGUGUUCUUGUUUAGACAUAAUGUGUAUUUAUCAAUUGUAGUGAUAAAUGGAUAUGCGAGUAUCCAGGUAAUUUAUCAUAUUGUCCAUCACUGUAAUACUGAGAUUUUUGUAGGUAUCACUUCAAGAGAGGAAAGUUUCUCUUACAAGUGUUUUCCCUUGGCAUUAUGCAAGCAUCCAGUUACCUUUGAUGGGCCCUGAAAUGAUGAAAGAGACCAAGGGAAUUUGCAGGUGUACAGGUAGAAUGAGACAUUUAGGAAACACAUUUUCAACAGUAUAUUUUUUAGGUUCAUUUGAAGAGGUCACAGUGAGCCUAUCAGUAAUAGUUAACGGGGGUCAUUGCUCAUAUGGAUGUGCAUGAUAAUGUGGGCCUAAAACACAGCCCAGCCCAUCUGAUCUUCCCUUAUAUAGUGUCCUGUCAAGAAAUGACCGUCUUACCUGACAGUGGUAUUGAUCUUGCAUUAUUACAAGUAUCCAGGUAGAGUUUAUGUGUUCUGUAAUGAUGGAGUGACGAAGGUUAUUUUCAGAUGUCUUGGUGGAAAUGUUUGUGUCCUUUAACACAUAUUUCACAAUGUAUAUUUCAGGUUUCUGUAGUGAGACCCUGAUAAACCUAACAAUGGUUGGUAUGGCAGACAUUUCUGGUAUGCAGGCAAGUGAUGAUGUGUUCUUUAA
rnacentral:lncRNA from 1 species